CUCCAACCAUGACUUCUGCACGUGCUAUUGUGGCGCGCGCGAUUGGCACCUCGCUAAUCCCCACCCCUCCGCCUCCGCGGGAGCUGCGCGUCUAAUCUGUGCCUCUCCGCAUCAAAAAUAAAGAGACCCCGUUCCUGGGUGCCAUGUGUCAACGUUCCCAUGGAGAAAAGUCAUGAAAAAUUAAAGGUGAAUGGGCAGUACCCCGCCUGAGGCCGGUCAGCCAAGGAAGGACCGUGUGUUCUUCUGAAAGACGCACACCAUGUGAGCAGGCUCCACCCACAGCAGGCUCCACCCACAGCAGGCUCCACCCACAGCAGGCUUCAC